rnacentral:rRNA from 1 species
GACGAACGCUGGCGGCGUGCUUAACACAUGCAAGUCGAACGCUGAAGCUCAGCUUUUGUUGGGUGGAUGAGUGGCGAACGGGUGAGUAACACGUGAGUAACCUGCCCCCUUCUUUGGGAUAACGCCCGGAAACGGGUGCUAAUACUGGAUAUUCACUGGUCUUCGCAUGGGGGUUGGUGGAAAGGGUUUUUCUGGUGGGGGGUGGGCUCGCGGCCUAUCAGCUUGUUGGUGGGGUGAUGGCCUACCAAGGCUUUGACGGGUAGCCGGCCUGAGAGGGUGACCGGUCACAUUGGGACUGAGAUACGGCCCAGACUCCUACGGGAGGCAGCAGUGGGGAAUAUUGCACAAUGGGCGCGAGCCUGAUGCAGCGACGCCGCGUGAGGGAUGGAGGCCUUCGGGUUGUGAACCUCUUUCGCUCAUGGUCAAGCCGCAACAAUGGUUGUGGUGAGGGUAGUGGGUAAAGAAGCGCCGGCUAACUACGUG